UGUUUUUGGGUUUGUUGGCAUUAGCCUCAGAACAAAGAGACCCUACAAGUUUAUAGAUAGGGGACUGUCCCUGGUGAUGGUGAGCAAGCUCGGCCUUCGGGAUCCGAGAAGCCUAAAGUCGCUAAAUGGUCGCCCACCUUAAAUAACAUGGGUCUCUUGGAUUCUUCGAGCGCGCCACAAACCCUUU
rnacentral:other from 1 species